GGCGGGGUAGCUCAGGUGGUUAGAGCGAGGGUCUCAUAAUCCCUAGGUCGGCGGUUCAAGUCCGCCCCCCGCUACCA
rnacentral:tRNA from 1 species